UACGGAGGAUCCGAGCGUUAUCCGGAUUUAUUGGGUUUAAAGGGUGCGCAGGCGGGGGAUUAAGUCGGCGGUGAAAUUUUGCAGCUCAACUGUAAAAGUGCCUUCGAAACUGGUUUCCUUGAGUGUAGCUGAAGUAGGCGGAAUUUGUGGUGUAGCGGUGAAAUGCAUAGAUAUCACGAGGAACUCCGAUUGCGCAGGCAGCUUACUAAACUACUACUGACGCUCAUGCACGAAGGCGUGGGGAUCAAACAGGAUUAGAUACCCGCGUA
rnacentral:rRNA from 1 species